AACAGGGAUUGCCUUAGUAACGGCGAGUGAAGCGGCAAUAGCUCAAAUUUGAAAGCUGGCCCCUUCGGGGUCCGCGUUGUAAUUUGUAGAGGAUGAUUCGGCGAGGGCUCCCGUCUAAGUCCCUUGGAACAGGGCGUCAUAGAGGGUGAGAAUCCCGUAUGUGAUGGGCUGCCUUAGCCAUGUGAAUCUCCUUCGACGAGUCGAGUUGUUUGGGAAUGCAGCUCUAAAUGGGAGGUAAAUUUCUUCUAAAGCUAAAUACCGGCCAGAGACCGAUAGCGCACAAGUAGAGUGAUCGAAAGAUGAAAAGCACUUUGGAAAGAGAGUUAAAAAGUACGUGAAAUUGUUGAAAGGGAAGCGCUUGCAGCCAGACUUGUCCGCAGUUGCUCAGCUUGUCUCCUGACAGGCGUACUCUUCUGCGGCCAGGCCAGCAUCAGUUCGGGCGGUCGGAUAAAGACCUAGGGAAUGUAGCUCCUCUCGGGGAGUGUUAUAGCCCUGGGUGCAAUGCGGCCAGCCUGGACUGAGGAUCUCGCUUCGGCUAGGAUGCUGGCGUAAUGGCUGUAAGCGGCCCGUCUUGAAACACGGACCAAGGAGUCUAACAUCUAUGCGAGUGUUUGGGUGUCAAACCCAUGCGCGUAAUGAAAGUGAACGGAGGUGGGAACCCUCACGGGUGCACCAUCGACCGAUCCUGAUGUCUUCGGAUGGAUUUGAGUAAGAGCAUAGCUGUUGGGACCCGAAAGAUGGUGAACUAUGCCUGAAUAGGGUGAAGCCAGAGGAAACUCUGGUGGAGGCUCGCAGCGGUUCUGACGUGCAAAUCGAUCGUCAAAUUUGGGUAUAGGGGCGAAAGACUAAUCGAACCAU
rnacentral:rRNA from 1 species